rnacentral:rRNA from 1 species
AUGAAGGGAGAGACAAUGGACGGGAGCAAAGGGCCGGUGGUGGUGACUGGAGCGUCGGGUUUCGUAGGGUCGUGGCUCGUCAUGAAGCUCCUCCAGGCCGGGUACACCGUCCGGGCCACCGUGCGCGACCCGGGUGAGCGCCCCCUCCCUCUCUCUCUCGACGUGGUAGCUAGCUUGACCGCAUUCGUAAUUUGUUUUUGUGUUUUUAUCUCAGCCAACGUUGAGAAGAACAAGCCGUUGCUGGAGCUUCCCGGAGCCAAGGAGCGGCUGUCCAUCUGGAAGGCCGACCUGAGCGACGAAGGCAGCUUCGACGACGCCAUCGCCGGCUGCACCGGCGUCUUCCACGUCGCCACGCCCAUGGACUUCGACUCCAAAGAUCCCGAGAACGAGGUGAUCAAACCCACGGUGGAAGGGAUGCUGAGCAUCAUGAGGGCCUGCAAGGAGGCUGGCACCGUGAAGCGCAUCGUCUUCACCUCCUCCGCCGGCAGCGUCAACAUCGAGGAGCGGCAGCGGCCAGCCUACGACCAGGACAACUGGAGCGACAUCGACUUCUGCCGCCGCGUCAAGAUGACAGGAUGGAUGUACUUCGUGUCCAAGUCCCUCGCAGAGAAGGCCGCCAUGGAGUACGCCAGCGAGAACGGCCUGGACUUCAUCAGCAUCAUCCCCACGCUCGUAGUCGGCCCGUUCCUCAGCGCCGGCAUGCCGCCCAGCCUCGUCACCGCCCUGGCGCUCAUCACAGGGAAUGAAGCCCACUACUCGAUCCUGAAGCAGGUGCAGCUGGUGCACCUGGACGACCUCUGCGACGCCAUGACCUUCCUCUUCGAGCACCCGGAGGCCAACGGCCGCUACAUCUGCUCCUCCCACGACGCCACCAUCCACGGCCUCGCCAGGAUGCUCCGGGACAGGUUCCCCGAGUACAGCAUCCCGCACAAGUUCGCAGGCGUCGACGACGACCUCCAGCCCAUCCACUUCUCCUCCAAGAAGCUCCUCGACCACGGCUUCAGCUUCCGGUACACCGCCGAGGACAUGUUUGACGCCGCCAUCCGCACCUGCAGGGAGAAGGGCCUCAUUCCGCUCGGAGACGCCCCGGCGCCUGCAGCUGCCGGCAAGCUGGGAGCUCUUGCUGCGGGCAAAGGCCAAGCCAUUGGUGCCGAGACAUAA